GGGUCGUUAGUUUAGGGGCAUAAUGCCAUUUUAGGGCAUGUCGAGAUUCGUCUUACAGCUUAGAUGAUGGAGGUCGUGGGUUCGAGUCCCACACGACCCC
rfam:Tilletiaria anomala TBC 951 K437scaffold_51, whole genome shotgun sequence.